AGAGUUUGAUCCUGGCUCAGGACGAACGCUGGCGGCGUGCUUAACACAUGCAAGUCGAACGGAAAGGCCCUGCUUUUGUGGGGUGCUCGAGUGGCGAACGGGUGAGUAACACGUGAGUAACCUGCCCUUGACUUUGGGAUAACUUCAGGAAACUGGGGCUAAUACCGGAUAGGAGCUCCUGCUGCAUGGUGGGGGUUGGAAAGUUUCGGCGGUUGGGGAUGGACUCGCGGCUUAUCAGCUUGUUGGUGGGGUAGUGGCUUACCAAGGCUUUGACGGGUAGCCGGCCUGAGAGGGUGACCGGCCACAUUGGGACUGAGAUACGGCCCAGACUCCUACGGGAGGCAGCAGUGGGGAAUAUUGCACAAUGGGCGGAAGCCUGAUGCAGCAACGCCGCGUGCGGGAUGACGGCCUUCGGGUUGUAAACCGCUUUCGCCUGUGACGAAGCGUGAGUGACGGGUAAUGGGUAAAGAAGCACCGGCUAACUACGUGCCAGCAGCCGCGGUGAUACGUAGGGUGCGAGCGUUGUCCGGAUUUAUUGGGCGUAAAGGGCUCGUAGGUGGUUGAUCGCGUCGGAAGUGUAAUCUUGGGGCUUAACCCUGAGCGUGCUUKCGAUACGGGUUGACUUGAGGAAGGUAGGGGAGAAUGGAAUUCCUGGUGGAGCGGUGGAAUGCGCAGAUAUCAGGAGGAACACCAGUGGCGAAGGCGGUUCUCUGGGCCUUUCCUGACGCUGAGGAGCGAAAGCGUGGGGAGCGAACAGGCUUAGAUACCCUGGUAGUCCACGCUGUAAACGGUGGGUACUAGGUGUGGGGUCCAUUCCACGGGUUCCGUGCCGUAGCUAACGCUUUAAGUACCCCGCCUGGGGAGUACGGCCGCAAGGCUAAAACUCAAAGGAAUUGACGGGGCCCCGCACAAGCGGCGGAGCAUGCGGAUUAAUUCGAUGCAACGCGUAGAACCUUACCUGGGUUUGACAUGGAUCGGGAGUGSUCRGAGAUGGGUGUGCSUCUUKUGGGGUCGGUUCASAGGUGGUGCAUGGCUGUCGUCAGCUCGUGUCGUGAGAUGUUGGGUUAAGUCCCGCAACGAGCGCAACCCUUGUUCACUGUUGCCAGCACGUUAUGGUGGGGACUCAGUGGAGACCGCCGGGGUCAACUCGGAGGAAGGUGGGGAUGACGUCAAGUCAUCAUGCCCCUUAUGUCCAGGGCUUCACGCAUGCUACAAUGGCUGGUACAGAGAGUGGCGAGCCUGUGAGGGUGAGCGAAUCUCGGAAAGCCGGUCUCAGUUCGGAUUGGGGUCUGCAACUCGACCUCAUGAAGUCGGAGUCGCUAGUAAUCGCAGAUCAGCAACGCUGCGGUGAAUACGUUCCCGGGGCUUGUACACACCGCCCGUCAAGUCAUGAAAGUUGGUAACACCCGAAGCCGGUGGCCUAACCGUUGUGGGGGAGCCGUCGAAGGUGGGACUGGUGAUUAGGACUAAGUCGUAACAAGGUA
rnacentral:rRNA from 1 species